rnacentral:rRNA from 1 species
GAGUUUGAUCCUGGCUCAGAUUGAACGCUGGCGGUAUGCUUUACACAUGCAAGUCGAACGGCAGCACGGGGGCAACCCUGGUGGCGAGUGGCGAACGGGUGAGUAACAUAUCGGAACAUAUCCGGAAGUGGGGGAUAGCUCGGCGAAAGCCGGAUUAAUACCGCAUAUGCCCUGAGGGGGAAAGGGGGGGAUCGCAAGACCUCUCGCUUUCGGAGUGGCCGAUAUCAGAUUAGCUAGUUGGUGGGGUAAAGGCUCACCAAGGCGACGAUCUGUAGCUGGUCUGAGAGGACGACCAGCCACACUGAAACUGAGACACGGUCCAGACUCCUACGGGAGGCAGCAGUGGGGAAUUUUGCGCAAUGGGGGAAACCCUGACGCAGCAACGCCGCGUGAGUGAUGAAGGCUUUCGGGUCGUAAAGCUCUGUCAGAGGGGAAGAAAUGGAAUUGGUUAAUACCCGAUUUCCUUGACGGUACCCUCAAAGGAAGCACCGGCUAACUCCGUGCCAGCAGCCGCGGUAAUAC